UGGAUCCAGACUUUGAUUCUGGCUCAGGAUGAACGCUGGCGGCGUGCCUAAUACAUGCAAGUCGAACGAAACUUCUUUAUCACCGAGUGCUUGCACUCACCGAUAAAGAGUUGAGUGGCGAACGGGUGAGUAACACGUGGGCAACCUGCCCAAAAGAGGGGGAUAACACUUGGAAACAGGUGCUAAUACCGCAUAACCAUAGUUACCGCAUGGCAACUAUGUAAAAGGUGGCUAUGCUACCGCUUCUGGAUGGGCCCGCGGCGCAUUAGCUAGUUGGUGGGGUAAAGGCUUACCAAGGCAAUGAUGCGUAGCCGAACUGAGAGGUUGAUCGGCCACAUUGGGACUGAGACACGGCCCAAACUCCUACGGGAGGCAGCAGUAGGGAAUCUUCCACAAUGGGCGAAAGCCUGAUGGAGCAACGCCGCGUGGGUGAAGAAGGUCUUCGGAUCGUAAAACCCUGUUGUUAGAGAAGAAAGUGCGUGAGAGUAACUGUUCACGUUUCGACGGUAUCUAACCAGAAAGCCACGGCUAACUACGUGCCAGCAGCCGCGGUAAUACGUAGGUGGCAAGCGUUAUCCGGAUUUAUUGGCCGUAAAGGGAACGCAGGCGGUCUUUUAAGUCUGAUGUGAAAGCCUUCGGCUUAACCGGAGUAGUGCAUUGGAAACUGGGAGACUUGAGUGCAGAAGAGGAGAGUGGAACUCCAUGUGUAGCGGUGAAAUGCGUAGAUAUAUGGAAGAACACCAGUGGCGAAAGCGGCUCUCUGGUCUGUAACUGACGCUGAGGUUCGAAGGCGUGGGUAGCAAACAGGAUUAGAUACCCUGGUAGUCCACGCCGUAAACGAUGAAUGCUAAGUGUUGGAGGGUUUCCGCCCUUCAGUGCUGCAGCUAACGCAAUAAGCAUUCCGCCUGGGGAGUACGACCGCAAGGUUGCAACUCAAAGGAAUUGACGGA
rnacentral:rRNA from 1 species